rnacentral:rRNA from 1 species
UACGUAGGGGGCAAGCGUUGUCCGGAAUCAUUGGGCGUAAAGAGCGUGUAGGCGGCCAGAUAAGUCCGCUGUGAAAUCUCGAGGCUCAACUUCGAGCUGUCGGUGGAAACUGUCUGGCUAGAGUCCGGAAGAGGAGAAUGGAAUUCCUGGUGUAGCGGUGAAAUGCGCAGAUAUCAGGAAGAACACCCGUGGCGAAGGCGGUUCUCUGGGACGGUACUGACGCUGAGAACGCGGAAAGCGUGGGAGCGAACAGG